rnacentral:rRNA from 1 species
GAUGAACGCUAGCUACAGGCUUAACACAUGCAAGUCGAGGGGCAUCACGAUUAAAGUUUACUUUAAUUGGUGGCGACCGGCGCACGGGUGAGUAACACGUAUCCAACCUUCCGUUCACUCGGGGAUAGCCUUUCGAAAGAAAGAUUAAUACCCGAUAUUAUAUACGAAUCGCAUGAUUUGUCUAUGAAAGGAUUCCGGUGUUCGAUGGGGAUGCGUUUCAUUAGAUUGUUGGUGGGGUAAUGGCUCACCAAGUCUUCGAUGAAUAGGGGUUCUGAGAGGAAGGUCCCCCACACUGGUACUGGGUCACGGACCAGACUCCUACGGGAGGCAGCAGUGAGGAAUAUUGGUCAAUGGACGGAAGUCUGAACCAGCCACGUAGCGUGAGGGAUGACCGCCCUAUGGGUCGUAAACUUCUUUUAUUUGGGACUAAAUUGAAGGACGUGUUCCUUUUUUGCAUGUACCAUUUGAAUCAGCAUCGGCUAACUCCGUGCCAGCAGCCGCCGUAACAC